AGUAGAAGCUGACCCUCCCACUUGCCCAGAGAUCCCCUAGCUGGAUACGAUUUCAGCAAUAGAACACUUGAUCAUCACAGUGCUUGGCAUAUACUUUCCUGAUCAAUUUCAUCACACAAGCUGGCAGCUAUGGGCAGUGAGGGAAGGAAGGGGCAAUCUCCUCACUAGACAGCCGUGCCAAGGUCACCCUGGUCCAUCCAUGAG